rnacentral:rRNA from 1 species
GUGGGGAAUCUUAGACAAUGGGCGCAAGCCUGAUCUAGCCAUGCCGCGUGAGUGAUGAAGGCCCUAGGGUUGUAAAGCUCUUUCAGCUGGGAAGAUAAUGACGGUACCAGCAGAAGAAGCCCCGGCUAACUCCGUGCCAGCAGCCGCGGUAAUACGGAGGGGGCUAGCGUUGUUCGGAAUUACUGGGCGUAAAGCGCGCGUAGGCGGACUGAAAAGUUGGGGGUGAAAUCCCGGGGCUCAACCUCGGAACUGCCUUCAAAACUAUCAGUCUGGAGUUCGAGAGAGGUGAGUGGAAUUCCGAGUGUAGAGGUGAAAUUCGUAGAUAUUCGGAAGAACACCAGUGGCGAAGGCGACUCACUGGCCCAAUACUGACGCUGAGGCGCGAAAGCGUGGGGAGCAAACAGGAUUAGAUACCCCAGUAGUCC